rnacentral:lncRNA from 1 species
UUUUUUUCUAUGUUGUAUGCAAAAAAUCAAGUUAGCAUGUAUUUCAAUUUGCAGUAAACUUAAUCUAUCAAAAAAGACCACAUUUAUUAUCUUUCUUUUGGAAAAAGUCGAGUCAUAAAGAACUUUCCACUUUUUGUAAGUGGUAUGAUGUUUUAUUGGCAUGGUAUCAGGAUUGGAGAACAUUCAGUUUCUCUUCCUUAUUCUUUUAAUGGUGCAAAUCUUAAUGUUCUGAAUGGACUAGUUAUGACUGAAUCUAGAUGAGACGUCCUUUGUUUUGUUUUAAGAUUUAUAUUUUACCCUAUUAUUAUACAAUGUGCAAUCAUUUGUUAUAAAUGUGUAAAAAUUGUUACUUCUAUGUAAAUUACUAUCAGACAGUGCUCAAAUACUGGUCUUAAAACUAUAUCAUUGUUCAUACUAAGAUAUGUAGAUUAUAUAUUAUUACUUAUAUUGUAAAUAUUGUUGUAAAUUCUCAUUAUUUUUUUUGGCUUGUGAUAUAAUGGCUUAGUAUUAAUUGUGAUUCAUGAACAAAAUUUUAUAAAUGGUUUUCAUUUUAUGUAGUCAAAAUUUUAUAUUAAUGUAAAAAACCCAAUUUUGUUAUUAAAGAAAAUAAUCAUAUUUUAUAAUGAAGAAUUAUUGCUGUUAAGUGUAUUUACAUCGAGAUUGUUUAGACAUUUUUAUCAUCUACUUCUGUUAUACUUACAUUAUAUUCACAAAAUGUACAGACAUUGAAGCUUUGAACACAGAUUAACUAUCAUUUUUCACAUGACAAUCAGAUGUCAACAAGUUAUAUAAUUCAAAACAAAAUCUGUUGAUUCUUUUACUCCUCUGUUAUUUUCGAAACCUUCAAACUAUAAGCAUUUUCAGGUGGAAGAUCUGCAGUUCUGCAAGCACACAUUUUUGUUCUCAAAUAAUCUAAUAUUUUGGUUUGGGCAGUCAAAUUCAAUUGCACCAAAAUUGAACAUUGUAUAACUAAUGCAAUGUUGCUUGAUCAAUUUGAAGAAAAUUGUUAUUCCUCUUGAUACAAUAUUUUGAAACUAGUACUAUACUUUUGUUUGUUUGUAUAUGAUAAGACAAAAAAAUCUUUUUCAUAACUGUUUCAUUCCCAAUUAGAUAUUUAGAUACACCAUGGUUUCCAUAUAAAUCUACAAAGAACAUGUUGUUUGGAAUACAGUCAGCUUUGUCAUUGAUUAAUUAGUAAAACACAAAAUAUAUUUACUUUUAAGUGACAUGCAUAUCAAUUUUCUCUGCAUGAUAUACUCAUAUAUAUGAUUUCAGCCCUUGACCAAUGUAAAUCUAAUUGCCAGUCAUGUCAAUUAAGAGGCUAAAAUAAAAAUUGCAACCUGUUAUCACAUGUGAUUUGGUAAUUUGGAUUGAAGUAGGAGAAUUUAGUCCCUUUCAAAAAAAGAUGAAACAUUUAGUUUUUGAUUUGCUCAUUUGUUGGACUGUUCCAGUGUUGAAAUACAAUGUGUUAAAUGUAAAUCCAGUCACAAAAAUUAUUUUAAAUAUUACAACUUAAUUUAAAGGGAAAAUUUGACAAUGUUCAGAUUUUAUUAAAAGAUCUCCCAGCAGUUUCAGAAAAGUUUGCAGCCGUAAAGAAUUAAUCCUAGGAUGAAAUCUUUUUAUAGGGACUUAACAGAGGUAUAAAGUUUAUGUAGCCUCUAUACCUUAAAUGAUUUUUUUGCAAUUCCCUAUAGGGAUAUAAUGUAAGGAUUUUAAUAAUCAUGCAAAGAUUUCUCUAAUGACAAGAUAAUUAUGAAGAAAAUUAUAUUUAAAUUAAAUGUUAACUUUAUUCUCUGUCAGAAUAGGUAAUCAUGAAAAAUUAUUUACACCGACUUGAUUAUUUUUUUGUGGAUGAUAGAAUAUAUAUGGAGAAUAAAUAUAGCUAUGGUGAUCUUGUAUUGUUGUAUAUGCUCAUUUCUGUACAGAAAUAUAAAAUGUACUAAAUUGUGAAUGACAUUAUGGGUCGUUUUCAAAAUACCGGUUAAAAGGUUGUUUAAAUAUAUUGCAAAAAUCUCAUUGUAAAAUAUUCAUGUUUCGUCCUAUUAUUUUAUGUCAAAUUCUCAUUGAAGGAUAUUAGGUUGUGUAACCCAAAUUAUUUGUUUGACUUUUUUUGUGCAGAGGUGCUGUUUUGUUAGGGCUAUACUGUCUCAUGCAUUUAUAAGAAAUUGAAAGGUUUUUCUAUCAGUGUGACAAUGUACAUGAGAAUGUGUUCAGAAGUAGAAAUGUAUAUCUAAAAAAUCUAGGAAAGUGGAUUACAAAUAAUUAUAUAAGCAGCAGUACUUUAUACAUGCGCAUAUGCAUUAUUAUAACAAAAAAUCGGAUGCUUCACAGCUUCUAACGGUUUUAUUUAUUUAUAAAAUUGAUAUUAUAUUGGGUAGUAGAAGUAAUAUUACCUAUUUAAGCAGGGUGUUUAACAAGUUAUAAAAUUGAGAGGUAUAGCCGUAACAAAAACAUAUUUUUAUCAUGAUAAAAUUGAGAGGUAUAGCCGUAACAAAAACAUAUUUUUAUCAUGAUAAUUUGUAUAUUUACAAUAUACAUUUUAAUAGAAAUAAAACCAAUGAAAAAUACACACUUUUUUUUAUAGAUAUUGAGAAAAAAAUAAUCUUUUUAUAUCAGAAUCUUCAUAAUAUGAGCAUAAUUUGAAUGGGGCAUUAUAAGUUACAGUUUAUACGGGAUGGUGCUUUCUGGGAAAUUUUAGGGACAACUUCCAUUGAUGCACAUUUUCAGAUAAUUGACAAAAUAAUUGUGAUUUAUGUUUCAAGUUACUAUUUAUACUUAACCACACAUAAUAAUAACAAGUUGUGGUAUCAUUAUCAAUGAGAAAAAUAUUGGAAUGAUAAUAUUUUAAAUAUGUAUUUACUAGAGGUUGAAAUAGUAAAUCUACAAUGAUGCCUGUCGAAUCCCAGGUUGUGAAAGUGAACCUAGUUUGUAUGGAGGUGUUUAACACAGAUAAAUUAAAAAAGUUAGCCAGUUUUCUAACCUUAGGUCGUUAGUUGUCCCUGUUUGCACCUGCUUCCUCCACAAAUAAAAACUGAUAAAGCCAGGGUUGCUGACGGUGGCGUUUAACGCCAACUUAUUGAAAUCUUAAUGUAUAUUUUCCUUAAACAAUUCAGAACAGAAUUAGAUUUAAAAUACUAAGAUUUUUAAUACUGAAUUAUUUAACUGUGAAAAAGACAAUAAAAUUAUAUUUAUUAAGAACAGGCCUAGAAUGUAAUGUACAGUUGUGCACAUAAUUUCAUCAUUGUUUCGAAAAUAUACAUAAAAUGUCAUUGUCAUUUAUAUAUAUGCCUACAAAAGAGUGUUUAUUCAUAGUCUGUUUCAUUAUUGUCAUUUCACUAUUGGAACCAAAUUAAAGACAUAUUUUUACUGAAUAAAUGCUCAGAUGAGCAAAU